CAGCAAUGUCUCUCCCAGAAGGUGGGAGCUGUGAGAGGAGACUUUGUCACUUGUCACAUACAGGAUUGGCUGAAACUGAGGAGUCAAACCCAGGGUUACACGGAUGAAAGUCCCCGAGCUCAACGUUUAUAUUCAUGGCUAACUUGGCUGGGAGUCCCUGGGGAAGUUACCUACCCCCUCUGAGCCUCCAGUGAUGUCUCAACCAUACUAAGAUAAAUUGAGAAUAAUCUGACCUAUCUUGGUCUUUUUCUUCCUGUGUGUUCUUGGGCAGGUCUGUCACCCUCUCUGGGCCUUGCUUUUCUUAUCUGUAAAACUAAUAUCAGGUGGUUUCUCAGGACCCUCUCCUCUCUGGUGUUUCUUUGAUUUUUUCUGUCGCCCGUUUGCCCAGCUCCGCAGAUGCAGCCUAGGGGAGGGGCUGCACCGACGAGCGGCUUGGCGGCAUUGCAAGGCCUGGCACGUCCACCCUCGUGUUUAAUGACUCUGGCAACUGUCUCUGCCUCCUCGAUUUCCUGAGCAAACAUACUCAUUAUCUGGAGUAAUUUACUGGCACCGGCUUUGGUUGUGUGGAUUGGAAGCUUCCAGAUGGGCCCCCACUUCAGCCCACAUACCCUGAACACGCUCAUGUAGCCAGGUGUUGGGUCAGAACCCUAGCCUGCCCUGGGACUCUGAGCUCUGUUGCCCCUCUGACCUCUCUGUCUGUGGGCCAAGGCUCUGUGAACCCAGUGGUUAGAACAGGGCUUCCAAGCAUAGUAACCUAGGCUUAUCACUGUGCAAUCUUAGAUCCCUCAGUUUCCUCAUCUGUGAAAUGGACACCAUGAUCUUUGCUGAUCUCACCCUUUCACAGGACAGUCAUGAUCCCUCUGCCACCACAUCCUAUCCACCCAUGGACCCUGUCCCAGUCACUGCUCUAAAUCUGGAGCAUCCUGGUUUCCAGCCUGCAGACCCCUGAAAGAUGGAGAGG
rnacentral:lncRNA from 1 species